CGGGGUGCAGCAGGCGCGAAAACUUUACAAUGCGGGCAACCGUGAUAAGGGAACCUCGAGUGCCUGUAAAUGCAGGCUGUUCAGAUGCCUAAAACACAUCUGGAGAAAGGGCCGGGCAAGACCGGUGCCAGCCGCCGCGGUAAUACCGGCGGCUCGAGUGGUGGCCACUUUUAUUGGGCUUAAAGCGUUCGUAGCUGGGUUGUUAAGUCUCUUGGGAAAUCUGGCGGCUUAACCGUCAGGCGUCUAAGGGAUACUGGCAAUCUUGGAACCGGGAGAGGUGAGGGGUACUUCGGGGGUAGGAGUGAAAUCCUGUAAUCCUCGAGGGACCACCUGUGGCGAAGGCGCCUCACCCAGAACGGCUUCGACAGUGAGGGACGAAAGCUGGGGGAGCAAACCGGAUUUAGAUACCCGGGUAGUCCCAGCCGUAAACUAUGCGCGUUAGGUGUAUCGGUGACCACGAGUUACCGAGGUGCCGAAGGGAAACCGUGAAACGUGCCGCCUGGGAAGUACGGUCGCAAGGCUGAAACUUAAAGGAAUUGGCGGGGGAGCACCACAACAGGUGGAGCCUGCGGUUUAAUUGGACUCAACGCCGGGAAGCUCACCGGAUAGGACAGCAGAAUGAUUGCCGGGCUGAAGACCCUGCAUGACUAGCUGAGAGGAGGUGCAUGGCCGUCGUCAGUUCGUACUGUGAAGCAUCCUGUUAAGUCAGGCAACGAGCAAGACCCACGCCCAACAGUUGCCAGCAUGGUCUCCGGACUGAUGGGGACACUGUUGGAACCGCCCUCUGCUAAAGAAGAAGGAAGGAAUGGGCAACGGUAGGUCAGCAUGCCCCGAAUUAUCCGGGCUACACGCGGGCUACAAUGGGCAGGACAAUGGGCAUCGACACCGUGAGGUGGAGGCAAUCUCCUAAACCUGUCCUUAGUUCGGAUUGUGGGCUGAAACUCGCCCACAUGAAGCUGGAAUCUGUAGUAAUCGCGUUUCAAAAUAACGCGGUGAAUUUGUCCCUGCUCCUUGCACACACCGCCCGUCAAACCACCCGAGUGGGGUUUGGAUGAGGUUACGGUCGUUGCCGUAGUCGAAUCUAGGUUCCGCAAGGGGGGUUAAGUCGUAACAAGGUAUCCGU
rnacentral:rRNA from 1 species